CAAAACCCCGCAGAAGAGUCCCGUCCCCCGUGGCGGGCGCCGACGGAGCAACCGCCCCGGAAACUCUCAGGCAACAGGACUGCGCGGUCUAG
rnacentral:ncRNA from 2 species